UGAUCUGAGUUCAGACCGGCGUAAGCCAGGUCAGUUUCUAUCCACGAAAGUUGUGCUUUUCUUAGUACGAAAGGACCAGAAAAGCAGUACCAAUUUUUUAAAAAAAGUACUAAAAAAAGUUUUGAAAAAAAAAUGAAAAUUUUCACUAAAAAAUUUUACUUUU
rnacentral:rRNA from 1 species